UACGUAGGCAGCAAGCGUUGUUCGGAGUUACUGGGCGUAAAGAGUGCGUAGGCGGUCCUGUAAGUUUGGUGUGAAAUCUCCCGGCUCAACUGGGAGGGUGCGCCGAAGACUGCAGGGCUUGAGUAUGGGAGAGGUAAGCGGAAUUCCUGGUGUAGCGGUGAAAUGCGCAGAUAUCAGGAAGAACACCCGUGGCUAAGGCGGCUCUCUAGUACGGUACUGACGCUGAGACGCGAAAGCGUGGGGAGCGAACAGG
rnacentral:rRNA from 1 species